CAGUCGCCACGGUAAUACGGAGGGUGCAAGCGUUAAUCGGAAUUACUGGGCGUAAAGCGCACGCAGGCGGUCUGUUAAGUCAGAUGUGAAAUCCCCGGGCUCAACCCGGGAACUGCAUUUGAAACUGGCAGGCUUGAGUCUUGUAGAGGGGGGUAGAAUUCCAGGUGUAGCGGUGAAAUGCGUAGAGAUCUGGAGGAAUACCGGUGGCGAAGGCGGCCCCCUGGACAAAGACUGACGCUCAGGUGCGAAAGCGUGGGGAGCAAACAGGAUUAGAUACCCGUGUAGUCCCUGUCUCUUAUAC
rnacentral:rRNA from 1 species